UGGGAUUGAGUUUGGGGGUUAUUGCCCUAUUCAUUCAGGAAUAAGGGGCCAAAAACAAGCAUUUUGUUAGUUUCCAGACAAUAAAUAUUGUUUAAGUGUUAGAUGGAUCCCUCUGAAAUUGUACUACAAGGUUCCAUACUACAACAGAAAGGUAGGAGUAAUUGCUCCAAGGAGGUAUUCAAAAAGUUUGGGUGGGGGCAAUUUUUUUAAGGGGUUUAAUUUUUUUUUUUCAAAAUUUUUGAAAAAGUUUCAUGACAAAAUCUUUAAUUGCACAGUAUUGUGCAAUAGAUUUGUAUGAUUUUUAGACUUUUAGUUUUUGGUCCCGUUUUCAAAUUGGUCUACAUUAAGGUCCAAAGGGUCUAAAAUUUAAUUUUGUUUGAUUUGAACCAAAAUUGAAUUCU
rnacentral:lncRNA from 1 species